UUUUGAAGUGCUGUUGGGGUUGGGGCUGCGUGAUCGUCACUGGCGUCCUCCAGAGUGCCCACCGAUCAGAGAGUCGUACGAACCGCAAGCUUUGAACGUCUGUUUAUCGCACCAUCGAAAGCGGCGGCACAGAAGGCGCGAUGUGAGCUCCGGUGGGAACAGCAGCCCUUUGUCUCGUAACGGUGCCGUCCAGACUGGCCAUGAGACCAGCGAGUUUGCUGUAGAAACAGCCAUUUGGGAGUGGCUGCGUCACGCUUCUGCCAGGCACAGAACUGCCAUUGCCAAGGACUGUGCCACUGAACAGCCCGGAUAUGUGUGGCAUGGUUCCCUCGGCCUAUUGUACCUUUACCUAUCACCCGCGGCAUCUAGCUGCCAGUGUGACCUUGCUUUCUUCAGCGCUGUGCCACUGAAUAGCCGGGACACGUCUGACAUGGUCUCCUAGGCCUGCUGUACUUUCACCCAUCACCCGUGGCGUCUAGAUCCAGUGUGCCGAUCGAGUUGUCCAAAACUGUCAAGUGCUUUAUGAUGUCACCAAUGUGCCAAAUGCUCUAGUACUAUUAUGUGCUCCACCACUCUACCAUGCGCUCUCCACUUCUCCAGUAUAUAAAGUGUCCCAUGGCGUCUCCAUUUGCGAAGUGCAUUACCAAGUCUCCAAGUGCUCCAGUACUGUGUUAUGUGCUCCGCUGCUGUGCCGAGUGCUCUCCGUUUAUGCAGUAUACCAAGUGCCCAUUGCGU
rnacentral:lncRNA from 1 species